rnacentral:lncRNA from 1 species
UACCUGCAGCAGAAGUGUAAGUGGCAAAACACAAGUGCCUUUUGGUAGCUGCCCAAAUCAUGAAAUGCCCAGGAGUUUCUAUGCUUCUAAUGUUAAAUAUAACUCCUCACUUGGUCUCAUGCAGCUUCUCUCCAUGCAGGUCUUCAUACUUAUCCUCAUUAGGCCAGUUGUUCAUUCCAGUAGUUCCUUUGCUUCCUGUGAUAAUUAAGCACCAAUGAGAAAUUAAAGGAGGUGAUCACUCUUCCAGUCAGAAGAUGGCCUGAGAAGGAGGUAGCCUGGGUAUGUUCAUGCAUACAAAGUAGAUUAUUCAUUAAGUUUUGGAGACCACUUGAAUUACUUUUCCUGCGUCUGAUUAUCAGAGAAUAACAACACACAGGAUUAGAGUACAAGCUAGGAUGUGGGAGUACAUACUCUACAUCCCAUAUGAAAUGCCUUUUUGGUGUUUGAAGAAAUUUAAAAAUUAGAGAAUUUAGAUAGGGAAGAAAAUUAAUGUGAGAGAGAAUAUUAUACACAAAAUAGCUGACCUGUACUGGUCGGCUAAGCCAUCUCACACUGAGAUAAUGUUCUGUAGAAUAUAAAGUGAUUGGCCCAUGUCAGACUUGAUGAUUACAUGGAAAUGGUGAUUGUCAUAUGUUGUACAGUUCUGUACAGAGCACGAGGCAUGUUCAUUUACCUUACCCCAUAUGCUGGUUCUCACAAGGACAACCUUAAAAUCUGUAUUGUCUUAGAGGAGAUCUCUGUUGACUGAUGCAUUGGUGGACUUCACAAGAAUAACUUUUGCUGYCGGAGUAGCUUUUGGAUUGGAUCUGAUAAUAACGCCAAGGUUAAUAGAGCAGGAAUGGGACAGAUGCACAUAUAUAGCGGAGUGGGACAGAAGUCCUGCAAUCAUGAAAUGGCAGUAGUGUGGAGAGGUGACAUGAGAGACCUACAUUUUCCGUUUGCUGAAUUGUUUUCUCCGGUGAUGAUUGAUGGUCCAGCCAGAUUAUGCCGUGAUGCAGACCAGGCAGCUACAACAUACAGACAUUUUGGGCCCUUUCCCACAGACGCCAUCAAAGGCAGUAUUGCCGCAAAUAAUAAGAUAAAUCCCCCAUGGAUUUACCUGAGCAAAGCUGAAAUGUAUGGUUUCUGUGGAUCAAUUUAGCAAAGACUUGUCAAGGAGAAGGCUUCUCCAUACUGUUGCAAAAAGAAAAGCCUGUCAGAAAAGGCAAUUUCAUUUCUUUACUGUGUUAAGUCAGUAAAGUACAGCUGCAGUAACUCCUGAAAGCUAAGCCUGGUUUCUCACUUACUUAUCUGGCUCUUGACAGCAAAUCAAGGCAACAAAUUCACAAAAUCACAGAAUAGUUGAGGUUAGAAGGGACCUCUGGAGAUCAUCUGGUCCAACCCCCUGCUCAAGCAGGGUCACCUAGAGCAGGCUGCCCAGGACUGUGUCCAAUUGGGUUUUGAUUAUGUCCAAGGGUGGAGACUCAACAGCCUUUCUGCGCAACCUGGAAACUGUCCAUUUCUGUAAAAGGAGGGCUGUUGUUAAGCAGCAGCUAUAACAUACUAAAUGCUUUACUGUAGAUUAUGUGUCCUUAAAACAUGUCUUGAUUUUACAUGUUAUCUGGUAUCUGUAUGAGCUGACUGACAAGAGAGUGUGUUAGGCAAAAACUAUUUAGAAAGUGGGCUGGGAAGGACAACAUACAUACUGUUCAAGAAGGAAGAAUGAGCUCUGCCAUGUGAUGCAAACUGUUCAUUUAAGCUUUUCUGUGUCCKGGAAGCAGGUUUUAACGAAAUAAGAACUUGACGUUUUGUAGAAAGAAGCUGAACUACAAGGAAGAGGUUAUGAGGAUUCAGCAUAAUGCAGUUUCCUCACAGUGAGUGGAAGUGUAAUAACAGCCACGCUUCAGGACUACGCUUUCGACCACAUACCGUACCCCAUCUGCUGCUGCUCUCUGCUCAGAAAUACACAGCUGUAAAGUAAAAUGACAGCAAAGUAUUGCCAAAGUCAGUUAAUAAAUUUCUGAAGUUAUAAUUUCA